AGUCAAUAGAUACCCAGGUAGUCCACGCCGUAAACGAUGAGUACUAGGUGUAGGAGGUAUCGACUCCUUCUGUGCCGCAGUUAACACAAUAAGUACUCCGCCUGGGAAGUACGGUCGCAAGAUUAAAACUCAAAGGAAUUGACGGGGGCCCGCACAAGCAGCGGAGCAUGUGGUUUAAUUCGAAGCAACGCGAAGAACCUUACCUAGACUUGACAUCUCCUGAAUAGUGUAGAGAUACAUGAAGCCCUUCGGGGCAGGAAGACAGGUGGUGCAUGGUUGUCGUCAGCUCGUGUCGUGAGAUGUUGGGUUAAGUCCCGCAACGAGCGCAACCCUUAUUACUAGUUGCUACCAUUAAGUUGAGCACUCUAGUGAGACUGCCCGGGGUUAACCGGGGAGGAAGGCGGGGAUGACGUCAAAUCAUCAUGCCCCUUAUGUCUAGGGCAACACACGUGCUACAAUGGUGAGU
rnacentral:rRNA from 1 species